rnacentral:siRNA from 1 species
UGGCGGCUUGAUUUGAUUUUUGC